rnacentral:tRNA from 1 species
UCAAAACGUAGCUUAAGCAAAGCACCCGGCUUACACCCAGAAGAUUUCUUUUACCAGAACGUUUUGA